GGUCAGGAUAGCUCAGUUGGUAGAGCAGAGG
rnacentral:tRNA from 71 species